CCCGCACAAGCGGUGGAGCACGUGGUUUAAUUCGAUGCAAACCGAAGAACCUUACCUGGGUUUGACAUGUACGUGGUACGGAUAUGAAAGCUGAGGGACCACAUCUUCGGAUGCGGAGCGUACACAGGUGCUGCAUGGCUGUCGUCAGCUCGUGUCGUGAGAUGUUGGGUUAAGUCCCGCAACGAGCGCAACCCUGCAUUCAGUUGCCAUCGGUGAGGCCGGGCACUCUGGAUGGACUGCCGGCGACAAGCCGGAGGAAGGUGGGGACGACGUCAAGUCAUCAUGGCCCUUAUGUCCAGGGCGACACACGUGCUACAAUGGCCGGCACAGCGGGAAGCGAAGGGGCGACUCUGAGCGGAUCCCUUAAAGCCGGUCCCAGUUCGGAUUGCAGUCUGCAACUCGACUGCAUGAAGUUGGAAUCGCUAGUAAUCGUGGAUCAGCCAAGCCGCGGUGAAUACGUUCCCGGGCCUU
rnacentral:rRNA from 1 species